GGACGAACGCUGGCGGCGUGCUUAACACAUGCAAGUCGAACGGUGAAGGGAUCAGCUUGCUGGUUCUGGAUGAGUGGCGAACGGGUGAGUAACACGUGAGUAACCUGCCCCCUUCUUCUGGAUAACCGCAUGAAAGUGUGGCUAAUACGGGAUAUUCUGGGUCUGUCGCAUGAUGGGUCUGGGAAAGAUAUUGUUUCGGUGGGGGAUGGGCUCGCGGCCUAUCAGCUUGUUGGUGGGGUGAUGGCCUACCAAGGCGGUGACGGGUAGCCGGCCUGAGAGGGUGGACGGUCACACUGGGACUGAGACACGGCCCAGACUCCUACGGGAGGCAGCAGUGGGGAAUAUUGCACAAUGGGCGCAAGCCUGAUGCAGCGACGCCGCGUGAGGGAUGGAGGCCUUCGGGUUGUAAACCUCUUUCGCCAGUGAAGCAGGCCUGCUCCUUGUGGGUGGGUUGACGGGAGCUGGAUAAGAAGCGCCGGCUAACUACG
rnacentral:rRNA from 1 species